rnacentral:rRNA from 1 species
AGCAGCCGCGGUAAUUCCAGCUCCAAUAGCGUAUAUUAAAGUUGUUGCAGUUAAAAAGCUCGUAGUUGAAUUUCGGGGUCAGCAGGUUGGUCGUGCCACUGGUAUGCACUGGCUUCGCUGAUUCCUCCUUUCUGAAGAACUGUAAUGCCAUUAAUUUGGUGUUGCAGGGAAACAGGACUGUUACUUUGAAAAAAUUAGAGUGUUUAAAGCAGGCUAACGCUUGAAUACAUUAGCAUGGAAUAAUGAAAUAGGACGUUUGAUCCUAUUUUGUUGGUUUCUAGGAUUGACGUAAUGAUUAAUAGGGAUAGUUGGGGGCAUUAGUAUUCAAUUGUCAGAGGUGAAAUUCUUGGAUUUAUUGAAGACUAACCACUGCGAAAGCAUUUGCCAAGGAUGUUUUCAUUAAUCAAGAACGAAAGUUAGGGGAUCGAAGACGAUCAGAUACCGUCGUAGUCUUAACCAUAAACUAUGCCGACUAGGGAUCGGAUGAUGUUAAUUUUUUAAUGACUCA